rnacentral:rRNA from 1 species
UACAGAGGGUGCAAACGUUGCUCGGAAUCAUUGGGCGUAAAGCGCACGUAGGCGGUCUGAUAAGUCGGAUGUGAAAGCCCUGGGCUCAACCCAGGAAGUGCAUUCCAAACUGCCAGACUUGAAUAUGGAAGAGGGUCGCGGAAUUCCCGGUGUAGAGGUGAAAUUCGUAGAUAUCGGGAGGAACACCAGUGGCGAAGGCGGCGACCUGGGCCAAUAUUGACGCUGAGGUGCGAAAGCGUGGGGAGCAAACAGG